AUGACCCAGGGUGGCUUCAGCGACAAGGCUCUCAUGGCAGCUCUCAGCCACCUGCUUGACAACAAGGCCCAGGGUGUUGGGUUCGUUGCCAUGGCCGGCGCUCACAGGGGCAAGUGGUAUGCCGUGUUCAUUGGUGAGGUUCCAGGGGUUUAUAGUUCAUGGGAAGAAGCCAAUGCACAAGUGGCAUCGUAUAGCAACAACAACUAUAGAGAGUUCAAGACUAAGCAGGCAACAGAACAAGCUUACUCCGCCUAG
rnacentral:rRNA from 1 species